AGAGUGAACGCUGGCGGUAGGCCUAACACAUGCAAGUCGAACGGCAGCACAGGAGAGCUUGCUCUCUGGGUGGCGAGUGGCGGACGGGUGAGGAAUACAUCGGAAUCUACCUUUUCGUGGGGGAUAACGUAGGGAAACUUACGCUAAUACCGCAUAAGACCUUCGGGUGAAAGCCGGGGACCUUCGGGCCUGGCGCGGAUAGAUGAGCCGAUGUCGGAUUAGCUUGUUGGCGGGUAAAAGCCCACCAAGGCGACGAUCCGUAGCUGGUCUGAGAGGAUGAUCAGCCACACUGGAACUGAGACACGGUCCAGACUCCUACGGGAGCAGCAGUGGGAAUAUUGGACAAGUGGGCGCAAGCCUGAUCCAGCCAUACCGCGUGGGUGAAGAAGGCCGUUCGGUUGUUAAACGUCCCGUUUUCGUUAGGUAAAGAAAGUACCGUAGUACCGGUUAAUAACCGAAGUAGG
rnacentral:rRNA from 1 species